GCUUAAUGCGGUUGUGAAUUAAUGGCCGAAGCCUACUCUUCACUUGGUGCCAUUUUGGAAAAUGUUGAAUCUAGGCAGCUUCGUCACUUGCUAAGUUCUGGUUAAUAGGUCCAUUAUCUAAAGAGGAUAAGGAGAUUGAGUCUAGCUUAGCAAAAUACCUCAAAGAACAGCGCAAAUUACUUGGAGACACAUCAGUAAGAAAUUUUUAAACUUGAUUUUUGAUCUCUUAGUAGUUAGUAGGUUAGUUGAGAAAACCAUGGCGAUUUGAGUAGAUCUGCUUGGUAUACAUGGCCAACCAUACAGAAAAAUGAAAUGUUGAAAGCAUUUGACUGUGUUAAUUUUGUAAUUUAUUGUAUUGUGGAGAUUGUUAAUUUAAUUUUAUUACUUUGUAAAUCUGAAAGUUCUUUCAUUUUUUCAGAAUAUUGUGGGUUCACAUUCACGAAGCAUUUAUGGAAAAUCUCUCUAUCAAAAUGAAACAAAAUGGAAAUUUUGGAAAAGGCAAGCAAGGCAGCAUUUUUGUGAGACACUGAGAAAUGAAGUUGGUUCAAUCAUUGGCAUAACAAUUGUCACACCUGGGCUCAUUGGGACCAA